GAUGAAGAACGUAGCAAAAUGCGAUACUUGGUGUGAAUUGCAGAAUCCCGUGAACCAUCGAGUUUUUGAACGCAAGUUGCGCCCGAAGCCUUUUGGCCGAGGGCACGUCUGCCUGGGCGUCACGCAUCGCGUCGCCCCCCACAAUUCUCCGUAAAGGGAACAUGUGUUUUGGGGGCGGAUAUUGGUCUCCCGUGCUCAUGGCGUGGUUGGCCGAAAUAGGAGUCCUUUCGAUGGACGCACGAACUAGUGGUGGUCGUAAAAACCCUCGUCUUUUGUUUCGUGCUGUUGCUCGCAAGGUAAACUCUUUAAAAACCCCAAUGUGUCGUCUAUUGACGACGCUUCGACCGCGACCCCAGGUCAGGCGGGACUACCCGCUGAGUUUAAGCAUAUCAAUAAGCGGAGGA
rnacentral:misc_RNA from 1 species